AUUGAACGCUGGCGGCAGGCCUAACACAUGCAAGUCGAGCGGAUGAAGGGAGCUUGCUCCUGGAUUCAGCGGCGGACGGGUGAGUAAUGCCUAGGAAUCUGCCUGGUAGUGGGGGAUAACGUCCGGAAACGGGCGCUAAUACCGCAUACGUCCUGAGGGAGAAAGUGGGGGAUCUUCGGACCUCACGCUAUCAGAUGAGCCUAGGUCGGAUUAGCUAGUUGGUGGGGUAAAGGCCUACCAAGGCGACGAUCCGUAACUGGUCUGAGAGGAUGAUCAGUCACACGGGAACUGAGAGACGGUACAGGCUCCUACGGGAGGAAGAAGUGGGGAAUAUUGGACAAUGGGCGAAAGCCUGAUCCAGCCAUGCCGCGUGUGUGAAGAAGGUCUUCGGAUUGUAAAGCACUUUAAGUUGGGAGGAAGGGCAGUAAGUUAAUACCUUGCUGUUUUGACGUUACCAACAGAAUAAGCACCGGCUAACUUCGUG
rnacentral:rRNA from 1 species